AUGGGAAGUGGGCCUCCCAAGGCUGACUGUGGGAAUGGAACAAGCCUGCUGGAAAGUGACACUCCGAUCUCAUCGGGGGAAGGAAAAGCCAGCGACAAAUACCACAUAAUACACUGUGGAGUGCUCGUGGAAGGCCAAGGGGUAAUGCUGAGGUAUGUACGUUUGUGGAUAGCUCGUUCCUGGCUGUCUCCUGUGUGCUGGGGGAAGUGUGAGACUCAGAGGAUGAGAUGUAGGCUGAUAAGUGACUUGCGGAACAAGAGCCACCCACAGAAGCAGCCAGUUAACCCCACAGGCGUGGGAGCUGAUUCACUGUUGAGUCCUGGACGGAUUCACCGGGGUCCCCUGGAGAAGGCGGGGCUUGAGCUUUAGAGUCAAGGAUGGGACCGAUUUUAGCGGAGGCGGGAGGAAGGUGGUCAGAAUGCCUGUCAGGCGUGUGGUUGUACAUCAUAAAGGCCACUGAGACGCAGUGGGAGCCUCUGCUCCGCCAGAGGUUGCCAUUACCACCUUGUCUUGAGGGUUCCACCAGAGGAGGCAUGUGCGUGCGUGCUAAGUUGCUUCAGUCGUGUCUGACCCUUUGCAGCCCCAUGGACCUGCCAGGCUCCUCUGUCCGUGGGAUUCUCCAGGCAAGAACACUGGAGUGGGUUGCCAUUUCCUUCUCUGGGGGAUCUUUCUGACCCAGGGAUUGAACCUGCAUCUCUUAUGUCUCCUGCGUUGGCAGGCAGUUUCUUUACUAUUCACACUACCUGGGAAGCCCAUAGGAGGCAAAUUUUAUAGCAAAGGAGUCAGAGCAGUUUAAGAGAUUACCUCCUAAGCAACACGGUUGGGCUAGAAUUAGCUUUCAUGUAUGUCUGUUGGUGAAGGCACUCAGGACAAGGCAGGGCUGGGGGCAAGUGAGGGGUGGUCUCAGUGGUACUGCUGAAACAGCUCCUGGCAUGGCCAAAUUCCUUCUACCAGAGAGGGGAGUAUGGCCAGUCAGUGGCGGAUGCUGGGUCCACAGUGUGUGUGCAACAGAGCACGAGCCAACAAUGAGCUUCACACUGACCACUGAGUGCUGGGUUCCGGGAGCCCCCAGAGCCCAGCAGAAGUGGGAGGGGAUCUGGGUGUUGCCCUUGUAGCCAUCUGGCCUCCACUGUAUCACAAGGGCUCCUCUGGCACUACCUGGUCAUCUCAGGAGGGCAAAUGAGAGGGGUCCAGUGGCCCCCAUGUCCCGCUUCCCUUUGAGCAGGAAGCUGGGGAUCCCCCUGCUGACCUCGGUGCCACAUCUUUUCUCUCCACCCUCCUUCUUGCUUCCCUGGAGGACUUCCUGUCAGGCUGGCCAUCUAUGAGCCCUGCGGGCAUCCUGACUUC
rnacentral:lncRNA from 1 species